UUAACUUAAAUUUGUACGGAGUUGGAACGCUUGCCUACCUUUGCCGCUAGGGGCGCUGUUUUUACUGCAUACAAAUUUAAGUGA
rnacentral:pre_miRNA from 1 species